CGACAAAGAAGCCUGACUUUUAACUCAUUCGCUCCCAAAGACGUCUUUAAACGUCUUUUCGGACUUGGUCCACCCGCAAGGCUGACUCUUCUUUCCAUUGCUGUCACACAUAUGGACAAUCAAACCUCUUUGUUCCACACUCACCUCCAUCACUCAGACCCGUUUGGCCUCUCGGUCCAGGUCCUGCGCCAGCGGAUCCGUCGCUCAAUCCUCCGGCUCCGCCUCCCGCCCCUCCGCCCGGGGCGCCUUGCUCGGCGAACAAGCCGUCAAAGCCCGACCGCUUGGGCUUCUUGUCGUCGUCGUCUC